UACGGAAGAUGCGAGCGUUAUCCGGAUUUAUUGGGUUUAAAGGGAGCGUAGGCGGAAGGUUAAGUCUGCGGUAAAAUGUCGAUGCUCAACAUCGUCCUGCCGUGGAAACUGGCUUUCUUGAAUGUGCACAGGGAAGGUGGAAUUCGUGGUGUAGCGGUGAAAUGCUUAGAUAUCACGAAGAACUCCGAUCGCGAAGGCAUCCUUCUGGGGCAUGAUUGACGCUGAGGCUCGAAAGCGCGGGUAUCAAACA
rnacentral:rRNA from 1 species